rnacentral:tRNA from 1 species
GCGGGGAUACUCAGUUGGUAGAGCCCGACCUUGCCAAGGUCGGGGUCUCGAGUUCGAGUCUCGUUUCCCGCUCCA